rnacentral:rRNA from 1 species
UGCAUAUCAAUAAGCGGAGGAAAAGAAACCAACAGGGAUUGCCCCAGUAACGGCGAGUGAAGCGGCAACAGCUCAAAUUUGAAAUCUGGCCCCCCCCCGGGGGGCCCGAGUUGUAAUUUGCAGAGGAUGCUUUGGGCGAGGCGCCUUCCGAGUUCCCUGGAACGGGACGCCACAGAGGGUGAGAGCCCCGUCUGGUCGGACGCCGAGCCUCUGUAAAGCUCCUUCGACGAGUCGAGUAGUUUGGGAAUGCUGCUCAAAAUGGGAGGUAUAUGUCUUCUAAAGCUAAAUACCGGCCAGAGACCGAUAGCGCACAAGUAGAGUGAUCGAAAGAUGAAAAGCACCUUGAAAAGGGGGUUAAACAGUACGUGAAAUCGUUGAAAGGGAAGCGCUCGUGACCAGACUUGGG